GUGCGAGGGGGCUUGCCCCCGAUAGCGGUAUGUCAUUCAAAACAUCAGUGACUGAACCAACGCAAUCGGGGGCAAGCCCCCUCCCAC
rnacentral:misc_RNA from 1 species